rfam:Thiobacillus sp. 65-29 SCNpilot_expt_1000_bf_scaffold_1461, whole genome shotgun sequence.
GUAUCGCCCGGCCUCACGGCCGGGCGCGGAUUGAAAC